ACAAUAAAUACCUUACAGAGGUCUCGUUAACCGAGAUCUCUCAAACGGAAUGAGUACAACGUGAAUCCUUUAACGAGGAUCAACUGGAGGGCAAGCCUGGUGCCAGCAGCCGCGGUAAUUCCAGCUCCAGUAGCGUAUAUUAAAGCUGUUGCGGUUAAAAAGCUCGUAGUUGGAUAUCAGUGCGUGUCCGGUCCGGUAUGCCCGGUACCGUUGCGGCAACGCGACGGCCGCCGGGCUCCCAAAUAUCGGCUGGCCGCAUUCAAUCGUGCCGGAUCCGUCGACGGGCCGUUCUUCGGAGGGGCCUGUUGGCGACCGGCGACGUUACCUUGAACAAAUUAGAGUGCUCAAAGCAGGCUCUGAAUGCCUGUAUACAUAUUCAUGGAAUUGGAGAAUACGUCCCUGGCUCGAUUUGGUUGGUUUUGAGAGUCGAAGGGAAAUGAUUAAUAGGGACUGACGGAGGCAUUCGUAUUGCGACGCGAGGGGUGAAAUCCUGUGACCGUCGCACGACGAACUACUGCGAAAGCAUUUGCCGAGAAUGUUUUCAUUAGUCAAGAACGAAAGUUAGAGGUUCGAAGGCGAUCAGAUACCGCCCUAGUUCUAACCGUAAACGAUGUCGACCAGCAAUCCGCAACGGUCACUACACGGACUGUGCGGGCAGCUUUCCCGGAGAAAUCAGAGUGUUCGGACUCCGGGGGAAGUAUGGUUGCAAAGACGAAACUUAAAGGAAUUGACGGAAGGGCACCACCAGGAGUGGAGCUUGCGGCUUAAUUUGACUCAACACGGGACAACUCACCAGGCCCGGACACCGUAAGGAUUGACAGACUGAUAGCUCUCUCUUGAUUCAGUGGGUGGUGGUGCAUGGCCGUUCUUAGUUGGUGGAGUGAUUUGUCUGGUUUAUUCCGAUAACGAACGAGACUCUGGCCUAUUAAAUUUGAUGGCGUCAGUCAUUAUGUGACUGCGUUAUGCUUCUUAGAGGGAUCAUCGGCGUCCCAGCCGAAGGAAAUGGAGCAAUAACAGGUCUGUGAUGCCCUUAGAUGUUCUGGGCUGCACGCGUGUUACACUGAAGUGGUCAGCGCGCCGUUUCACGUCCCUCUCCGUGAGGAGCGGGCAAACGUUUGAACCCUUUUCGUGAUGGGAAUUGGGGGUUGCAAUUGUCCCCCAUGAACGAGGAAUUCCAAGUAAGCGCAGGUCACUAGCCUGCGUUGAUUAAGUCCCUGCCCUUUGUACACACCGCCCGUCGCUACUACCGAUGGAUGAUUUGGUGAGGUCGCCUAGACUGGCCGCUGGCUUCGGCCGUGCAGCCGGGAAGACGCCCAAACUUGGUCGUCUAGAGGAA
rnacentral:rRNA from 1 species